UUUUGACUUGUAGAUCCAAAUUGGAGCUGAAGUAUCUCGUGGAAGCUUGAGUAAAGGAGGAUCUUUGAUUACAAACAAUUUAUAUCUCUAUCUCUAUCUCUACUCUCUAUCUCUACUACAUAUAAUCCACCAAGAAAACUUUCCUAAGUACACCCACCAACUUGUUUACCACAGUCAUUAUCUCUGCUCACCUCUCCUAAGUACAUCCACAAAUGUACACCAAAAACUCUGCUAAUCAUUCAAAUCAACAGCCCAGAUUACUUCAUAGAUCUAUAGAUCUAUUUUCUCUUACUCACUCACAUCCAAUGGACCAUAUUGCCUGGACCAAACUUCCUCAGUCAUCCCUCCUCCCCUCCCACACGCGCGCCGAGCCACGAGCAGACGCCUCAACUCCUCGCGUCGAAGAAAAAAAAAGCGGACGGCGGCGGCGCGAGGACUCGAGGAGUCCAGGACCGGCGGCGGCGGCGGCGCAAGGAUUCCAGGACCGGUGGCGGCGGCGCGAGGAAUCGAGAACCGGUGGCGCCAGCGGACGACGACCGGCGGCGGCGGUCGCGGAGCGGCGAGGGAUCCGCAAGGGCUCGACCGCCGGCGGCGCGAGCGGACGACGAACGCCGCCGGAGAGCGGACUCGGACAGGCUGCGGUCGCGAAAGCAGACCCGCCCUGCGCCGGCGGUCGGAGUGCCGCGCGCCUCCCAUCCAGCGGCCUGCAGGCUCGGACGCCGCCGCUGGGAGACGCCGCCUGUGGGCUCGGCCGCCGCGUCCGGGACGCCUGCCGCCUGCGGGCUCCAGAUCCUCCCUCUCCCUCGCCGGAUUCAGGGAGGAGGAAGAACAUGGCAAUAAGUUUCUUUCCCGAGAGCUGAGGCGAAAAGUUGGCUCUGUUUCGGAAAGUGGGCAGGCUGAGGCUCCAUAUUAGAGAACUCUGGAGAGAACUAUUAAUUUUAGUGACGACGGAUAUAAGUCUACUGUUUCUACUUGUCUGCCCAGAAAAUAAUACUGAUAUAAUCUUUCCAUUGGCCGGUGAAACUGGAAGAUAAGAUCUUUGUAAUCUCUAUGUAGUGCUGUUUAAUCUUUAGCUUUCAGAGUUUUACACACAUAUCUAACUGAUCUUUGUAAUCUCUAUGUAGUGCUGUUUAAUUUUUAGCUUUCAAAGUUUUACACACAUAUCUAACUUUAGUGGCUUACAAAGCACUAUUUUUU